rnacentral:rRNA from 1 species
UUCGGGUCUAGUGGCGCACGGGUGCGUAACGCGUGGGAAUCUGCCCUUAGGUACGGAAUAACUCAGAGAAAUUUGUGCUAAUACCGUAUGAUGUCGAAAGACCAAAGAUUUAUCGCCUAAGGAUGAGCCCGCGUAAGAUUAGCUUGUUGGUGAGGUAAAAGCUCACCAAGGCGACGAUCUUUAGCUGGUCUGAGAGGAUGAUCAGCCACACUGGGACUGAGACACGGCCCAGACUCCUACGGGAGGCAGCAGUGGGGAAUAUUGGACAAUGGGCGAAAGCCUGAUCCAGCAAUGCCGCGUGAGUGAUGAAGGCCUUAGGGUUGUAAAGCUCUUUUACCAGGGAUGAUAAUGACAGUACCUGGAGAAUAAGCUCCGGCUAACUCCGUGCCAGCAGCCGCGGUAAUACGGA